rnacentral:rRNA from 1 species
UGGGGAAUUUUGGACAAUGGGCGCAAGCCUGAUCCAGCAAUGCCGCGUGCAGGAUGAAGGCCUUCGGGUUGUAAACUGCUUUUGUACGGAGCGAAAAGGUCUGCCCUAAUACGGUGGGCUCAUGACGGUACCGUAAGAAUAAGCACCGGCUAACUACGUGCCAGCAGCCGCGGUAAUACGCAGGGUGCGAGCGUUAAUCGGAAUUACUGGGCGUAAAGCGUGCGCAGGCGGUUAUAUAAGACAGAGGUGAAAUCCCCGGGCUCAACCUGGGACCUGCAUUUGUGACUGUAUAGCUAGAGUACGGUAGAGGGGGAUGGAAUUCCGCGUGUAGCAGUGAAAUGCGUAGAUAUGCGGAGGAACACCGAUGGCGAAGGCAAUCCCCUGGACCUGUACUGACGCUCAUGCACGAAAGCGUGGGGAGCAAACA